rnacentral:misc_RNA from 1 species
GAUGAAGAACGCAGCGAAAUGCGAUACGUAAUGUGAAUUGCAGAAUUCAGUGAAUCAUCGAGUCUUUGAACGCACAUUGCGCCCCCUGGUAUUCCGGGGGGCAUGCCUGUCCGAGCGUCAUUGCUGCCCUCAAGCCCGGCUUGUGUGUUGGGUCUCGUCCCCCUUCCCGGGGGGACGGGCCCGAAAGGCAGCGGCGGCACCGUGUCCGGUCCUCGAGCGUAUGGGGCUUUGUCACCCGCUCUGUAGGCCCGGCCGGCGCUUGCCGAUCAACCAAAACUUUUUUCCAGGUUGACCUCGGAUCAGGUAGGAAUACCCGCUGAACUUAAGCAUAUCAAUAAGCGGAGGA